CCUANGGGUGGCUGCAGUCGAGAAUCUUUGGCAAUGGACGAAAGUCUGACCAAGCGACGCCGCGUGCGGGAUGAAGGCCUUCGGGUUGUAAACCGCUGUCGUAGGGAAUCAAAUGUAUGAGGGUUCUCCCUUGUAUUUGAGAGAUCCUAGGAGGAAGGAGAGGCUAAGCUCGUGCCAGCAGCCGCGGUAAGACGAGCUCUCCAAACGUUAUUCGGUAUCACUGGGCUUAAAGAGUUCGUAGGCGGCUUUGUAGGUGGGGUGUGAAAGCCCUCGGCUUAACCGAGGAACUGCGCCCCAAACCACAGGGCUUGAGGGAGAUAGGGGUAAGCGGAACAGAUGGUGGAGCGGUGAAAUGCAUUGAUAUCAUCUGGAACACCGGUGGCGAAGGCGGCUUACUGGAUCUUUUCUGACGCUGAGGAACGAAAGCUAGGGUAGCGAACGGGAUUAGAUACCCCGNUAGUC
rnacentral:rRNA from 1 species